rnacentral:ncRNA from 1 species
GCAGAGUAGAUCAUUGCGGGUUACGUGCUCGGGGGACGGGGAGUUGUCCCCGGGACGAAAAACCGGCGAGGCCGGUUUGCCGUGCAAUGGUCGCAUCCCGCUGC